rnacentral:rRNA from 1 species
GAGUUUGAUCGUGGCUCAGGAUGAACGCUGGCGGCGUGCUUAACACAUGCAAGUCGAACGGAAAGGCCCUUGCUUGCAAGGAUGCUCGAGUGGCGAACGGGUGAGUAACACGUAGGUGAUCUGCCUUUCACUUCGGGAUAAGCUUGGGAAACUGGGUCUAAUACCGGAUAUUCACGGCACCGUGGUUGGUGUGGUGGAAAGCUUUUGCGGUGGGAGAUGAGCUUGCGGCCUAUCAGCUUGUUGGUGGGGUAAUGGCCUACCAAGGCGGCGACGGGUAGCCGGCCUGAGAGGGUGUGCGGCCACAUUGGGACUGAGAUACGGCCCAGACUCCUACGGGAGGCAGCAGUGGGGAAUUUUGCACAAUGGGCGGAAGCCUGAUGCAGCGACGCCGUGUGGGGGAUGAAGGCCUCGG